AUGCCUCGCAAGGUUGUCUCCGGCCCCGACUACGACGACGACUAUGCUGAUUAUGAGGAUUAUGAGGACGAUUAUGAUGAUUAUGAUGAGACUGGAUAUGCUGAUGUUAAGCCCCCUGUGAAGGAGAAAGAAUCAUCGAAGAAGUCUUCAAAUGCAGUGCCUGUGCUUUGGAAGUGCUCCAUGUGCACAUUCGAUAAUCAUGAAACUAUGGUAUACUGUGAGAUGUGUGGGGUUUUCCGGGAAUCUUUCGUCAAAUCUGGCAAGGAUGUUUCGAUCAAAGUAGAAUCUGUCAACGGAAUAUCAAACAAUUCUGGGACAUCUGCUCUGUCAAACUCUGAUUCUACCAAGAUGCCAGCGAAGACUUCUACUACAAACUUCGACGGUGAUUCUGAGAGAAAGUAUGCUAGCACAUCUCAUGAUAAAGUCAAUUCCACACAGUUGGCGUCUAUUGGUAGCUCAUCAAGCACUGGAAAAAAGAAACAACCCGUAAUCUCUGACAAUAAUGUGCCAAUCGAGAGGACACCUCAAUUGAUUGCUGAUCAUUUUCAGCUAAAGGAGGACCAGGGUAGUAGUAGUAGGGCUAGCAGUUCUGCUCAGAAUAAGGGUUCCAUGGAGACACUUUCUUCUGACAUAAGCCAGCUAAGUAUCGAAAGGAAUAAUGUCAAUGUUGCACAGCCUUUACCUGAAGAGUAUAAGCCUGAGGGGUGGAUGCUAGCUGAUCAGGAGUCCGGGGUGCUGAGCCAACUAAACCUUGCAAUAGUGGGUCAUGUUGAUUCUGGCAAGUCAACACUCUCUGGGAGAUUGCUACACCUAUUAGGGAAGAUAUCGAAAAGAGAUAUGCACAAAAAUGAGAAGGAGGCUAAGGAAAAAGGAAAGGGGUCAUUUGCUUAUGCAUGGGCCAUGGAUGAGAGUACUGAAGAAAGGGCAAGAGGUGUCACAAUGACAGUGGCUGUCGCCUAUUUGGAGACCAAGAAAUACCGUGUAGUUUUGCUUGACUCUCCUGGCCACAAAGAUUUCGUGCCAAAUUUGAUAUCUGGUGCAACACAGGCUGAUGCAGCUAUUCUUGUGGUUGAUGCAUCAACUGGUUCUUUUGAAUCUGGUAUGGAUGGGGAAGGAGGGAAAAGUGUUGGGCAGACAAAGGAGCAUGCUCAGCUUAUUAGAAGCUUUGGUGUUGAGCAACUUAUUGUUGCAGUCAACAAGAUGGAUGCUAUUGGGUACUCAAAAGAUAGGCUGGAGUUCAUCAAGGUACGACUUGGUAGUUUUCUGCGGUCAUGCAACUUCCGGGAUUCAGCUGUUACCUGGAUUCCUCUUAGUGCUGUAGAGAACCAGAAUUUGAUUAAAUCUCCUUCAGAUGCUCGUUUUACCUCCUGGUAUCAAGGGUCGUGUCUCUUGGAUGCUAUAGAUUGCUUGCAGCUUCCUUCUCGGGAUGUUUCAAAGCCCCUCAUUCUUCCUAUAUGUGAUGUUAUCAAAUCUCAGUCGACAGGACAACUGGCAGCUUUUGGAAAAUUAGAAACUGGCGCUAUUCGAAAUGGUUCAAAGGUCUUGGUUUUACCUUGUGAGGAAGUGGCGACAGUGAAAUCCAUUGAACGAGACUCUAGUUCAUGCAGCAUAGCGAGAGCUGGUGACAAUGUGGCAGUUAUUUUACAGGGAAUUGAUGGUAGUCGAAUAAUACCUGGCGGGAUUCUUUGUCACCCUGGUUUCCCUGUGCCUGUAGCCAACUACUUGGAGCUUAAGAUUCGAGUGUUGGACAUCGCCAUCCCAAUUCUCAUUGGUUAUCAGGUGGAGUUUCACAUACAUCAUGUGAAGGAAGCUGCAAGAGUAACGAAAAUCGUGGCGUUGCUUGACAAGACAGGCAAGCCAAGUAAAACAGCACCGCGGUUUCUUAAAUCAAAGCAGAAUGCUGUUGUGCAGGUUAUGCUAGAUCAAGCGGUCUGUGUCGAGGAAUUCUCGAAAUGCCGAGCUCUUGGAAGGGCAUUCUUAAGGUCGUCUGGAAGCACGAUCGCUGUCGGUAUAGUGACUAAGAUAAUGAGGCAGGAUCAGCACUAG
rnacentral:rRNA from 1 species